rnacentral:rRNA from 1 species
GAUGAACGCUGGCGGCGUGCCUAAUACAUGCAAGUCGAGCGAACAGACGAGGAGCUUGCUCCUCUGACGUUAGCGGCGGACGGGUGAGUAACACGUGGAUAACCUACCUAUAAGACUGGGAUAACUUCGGGAAACCGGAGCUAAUACCGGAUAAUAUAUUGAACCGCAUGGUUCAAUAGUGAAAGACGGUUUUGCUGUCACUUAUAGAUGGAUCCGCGCCGCAUUAGCUAGUUGGUAAGGUAACGGCUUACCAAGGCAACGAUGCGUAGCCGACCUGAGAGGGUGAUCGGCCACACUGGAACUGAGACACGGCCCAGACCCCUACGGGAGGCAGCAGUGGGGAAUCUUCCGCAAGGGGCGAAAGCCUGACGGGGCAACGCCGCGUGAGGGAAGAAGGUCUGCGGAUCGUAAAACUCUUUUAUUAGGGAAAAACAAAUGUGUAAGUAACUAUGCACGUCUUGACGGUACCUAAACAAAAAGCCACGGCUAACUACGG